AACGAACGCUGGCGGCAUGCCUAACACAUGCAAGUCGAACGAGACCUUCGGGUCUAGUGGCGCACGGGUGCGUAACGCGUGGGAACCUGCCCUUAGGUUCGGAAUAACUCCCCGAAAGGGGUGCUAAUACCGGAUAAUGUCUUCGGACCAAAGAUUUAUCGCCUUUGGAUGGGCCCGCGUUGGAUUAGCUAGUUGGUAGGGUAAAAGCCUACCAAGGCGACGAUCCAUAGCUGGUCUGAGAGGAUGAUCAGCCACACUGGGACUGAGACACGGCCCAGACUCCUAGGGGAGGCAGCAGUGGGGAAUAUUGGAAAAUGGGCGAAAGCCUGAUCCAGCAAUGCCGGGUGAGUGAUGAAGGCCUUAGGGUUGUAAAGCUCUUUUACCCGGGAUGAUAAUGACAGUACCGGGAAAAUAAGCCCCGGCUAACUCCGU
rnacentral:rRNA from 1 species